rnacentral:lncRNA from 1 species
CCGGGAGCUGGGCUGAGUGGUCACUCCAGAGCUCUGGAGUCUGUGGCGGGGAGCCCUGGAAACUGACAGCGGAGGGAAAGGUACCAGCCCCUGCGAAAUCCCCUCGAGCCCCCUGCCGCCGGGCCCCCGGGGGGCACAGCUGGGCCCUGGGCAGGCCUGAGACCCGCGCAACCCGCCCGUUCCUCCCAAGCAGCCCGGCUGGUUCGGUGCCACCCUGGGGGGCUGUUCGCCAGCGCGGCGUCGAGGGUCAAGGCGGGGAACCAGAGGGAACCGCGUCUCCUUUGGGGCCUGCGGAGAGCAGGGUCCGUCCGUCCCGUCUCCAGGGACUUUCGCUCAGGUCACUUCACCCGCUUCUUUCUCUGCCCCCGGGACCCGCCCAGCCCAGACUGGGACCCGCGGGUGCCGCCGUCCCGACGCUGUCCCCCGAUUUCACAGGGAGAGUCCCGAUUUGUGGGGCUUUGUCUUGUGCAGGCUCCGAUUACCCCCCACCCCGGUCCCGAUUUGUCACAUUUGCUGUCUGGUCUCUGCCCGACGCCCCCGACCCGCUGGGUCUCUUUAAGCCGACGCCUUUCUCCUCCCUUCGCCAGGUCGGGCCGGGGCGGCGAGUGCCCCGCGGGGACGGGGACGGGGUUUCUCCCAAGGUCUGUGGAGCCAGAAGGGGAGGAUUCACACGGAUGCCCCCAUUUGGGGGGGCCCGUCUCCCAAGGUGCAGCUCUCCCCACGGCCCCCCGGUCCCUGUGCACUGGCUGGACCCCGUUUGCGGGGGAGGGGGCUGGGGGCUCCCGAGGCUGAAUGGCUCCGUUGUGCGAGCGAGGCGCAGGCAGCAGGGGAAGGUUGGACAAUCGUUGCUUUCAUGCCAGGCCCAGACGGAAGUAGGAAAAGUUCCUCGGGGGGCCGGGCGGGGCCUGUGGCUGGGGGCGGAGCUCAGAGCAUGGGGCUGGGG